rnacentral:lncRNA from 1 species
CCAUUCUUAAGCGUUACGCGGAACAGAAUCUUUCCCCAUUAACCACUGUUACCCAGAGACAGACUGGUGUGAAAGAGACCUCUGUCCCAGGCCCCCUAGCUCUCUGUCACCCCUGAUGCUUUGGGAUUCUCCUUCAGGUCUCACUCAUGGACCAAUCAGUGAGAGAAGGUCAAGAUGUCAUUAUGAGCAUCCGCGUGCAGGGGGAGCCCAAGCCUGUGGUCUCCUGGCUGAGGAAUCGGCAGCCUGUGCGCCCAGACCAGCGGCGCUUUGCAGAGGAGGCCGAGGGUGGGCUCUGCCGGUUGAGGAUCCUGGCUGCUGAGAGGGGAGAUGCUGGUUUCUACACUUGCAAGGCGGUCAACGAAUAUGGCGCUCGGCAGUGUGAGGCCCGCCUG